AGAUGAUAACACCCUCGUUGCGCGGGAGUAAAGUUUUAAAGGUAAAACAAACAGGAAACGAGCGUUGGCGGCGAAUCUGCUGCUACCAAUGUAAAGGUCAGGCCGAGGCCGGCGCGGAGAAUCUGCUGUCGCCUGCAGCUGCUCGCCUGUCUCAGUCGGAAGGGAGCCCAAGCUUUGCUGAGAACAUGAACGAUUGGAUGCCCAUCGCCAAGGAGUAUGAUCCACUCAAAGCGGGCAGCAUUGAUGGCACCGAUGAAGACCCACAUGACCGCGCGGUCUGGAGGGCAAUGCUGGCACGAUAUGUCCCCAACAAAGGUGUCAUAGGAGAUCCCCUCCUCACCCUGUUUGUGGCCAGACUAAACUUGCAGACCAAGGAGGACAAAUUAAAGGAAGUCUUUUCCCGCUAUGGUGACAUCCGGCGGCUUCGGCUGGUCAGGGACUUGGUCACAGGCUUUUCAAAGGGCUACGCCUUCAUCGAAUACAAGGAGGAGCGUGCCGUGAUCAAAGCUUACCGAGAUGCUGAUGGCCUGGUUAUUGACCAGCAUGAGAUAUUUGUGGACUAUGAGCUGGAAAGGACUCUCAAAGGGUGGAUCCCUCGGCGACUUGGAGGUGGUCUUGGGGGAAAAAAGGAGUCUGGGCAACUGAGAUUUGGGGGACGGGACCGGCCUUUUCGAAAACCUAUUAACUUGCCAGUCGUUAAAAACGACCUCUACAGAGAGGGAAAACGGGAAAGGCGGGAGCGAUCUCGAUCCCGAGAAAGACACUGGGACUCGAGGACAAGGGAUCGAGACCAUGACAGGGGCCGGGAGAAGAGAUGGCAAGAAAGAGAGCCGACCAGGGUGUGGCCUGACAAUGACUGGGAGAGAGAGAGGGACUUCAGAGAUGACAGGAUCAAGGGGAGGGAGAAGAAGGAAAGAGGCAAGUAGAGGCCCAACAGCAGACCCCAAAGUGAAGUUACAGUGGAAAUGAGUGGAGGGAGAUUGUCUUUCAACGCAGCCCCAAGAGUUUGCUGAAUUGAAAUAAAAAUGGGAUAGAAAAGUGAAUUCAAGGAGAAUGUCCAGAGCCCUAAUACCAGAAGGCAGUCUGCACAGCCAGGUCAGCAUUCUUGAACAAAUGCACCUCCACUCUCACUCAAAAUGCCGACUGUCUUUCUUCUUUUUCUGGCUGACAUUUAAAAUUAAAAACCAAAGUUGCUGGGCUGUGAUCUAUGGCAGCCUUCCAGCUCUUUGAAAAGAUAAAGUUCGACAGAAGUGGUGGUGAAAUGAAAAUGAAGAAUAAGGAGUGGUCAGGAUCUAUGAAAGAAUUACAGCUAGUUCUGAUGGAUUGAUUUUUCCUUUCUCUUUUGAUAUCCAGUCUCUGGUGUGUUGGAGAUAUAGAUCUGCUGACCUUAACUUCUAAGGACCUUGAGCAAGUACCAUACUGUUUGGAUGAUUUCCAAAAAAGUGACAUUUAGCAUUUUGAUAAAA